CCGUGAGGGAAAGUUGAAAAGAACUUUGAAGAGAGAGUUCAAAAGGGCGUGAAACCGCUUAGAAUAAAACGGACGGAACCGUCUGACGCCUUCGGGAAUCAGUCGAACGACGCGCGAACGCGCCCGGGUUUAAUGGAAUGUAAAAGUCCGACUCUGGGUGUCUAGUAGUCGCGUUCGUGAGGCGCAUUUCUCGAGGGUUAGCGUCGCGACCGAUGCGAAAGGCUGGUGAGACUGCCGGGUUGAGGUCGAAACCCCUCGUGGGUAUUCGUUACCAGCCUGGUGGUAAUAAUCGCCAGACUGUAGUAGGCAUCGAGUGUCGAUUAUAGUAAAGCCGGCGAUAAAUAAGCGCUCGUUAGAAAACGGCGGAGAGUCGGCCGAUUAGUUGACACCUGCUUGCAGGUGCUCGAUUAAUACUUGGUCGGUCUACAAAGUCGUCAACGACGUUCCCGGCUUUCAGGCGUCCGCGACGUCCGAGCCGGUCACCCGUCCGACCCGUCUUGAAACACGGACCAAGGAGUCUAACGUAUACGCGAGCUAAUGGGUGGAAAACCUAUAAGCGUAAUAAAAGUAAAAACCAUCUUCACGAUGGUCGAGGUACGAUCCUAGUGGUAAUAUAACAUUAGGCGCAGUACUGCCCCGUCCCGACCGCACGUCGGUAGGGCGGAGAUAGAGUGCAUACGUUGGGACCCGAAAGAUGGUGAACUAUGCCUGAGCAGAGCGAAGCC
rnacentral:rRNA from 1 species